ACCUUUUCUUCAUAUAUAAGCUAAGUAGUAAUAAAGACCAAUUUCAAUUUUACCUCGUUGGUACUGCUUCCCAAUUCUAUUAAUUCUUAAAAUCAACCAAAGAGACUUGACUCGAUUUUCCCACUUAUAAGCUUCUCUUUCUUCAUCUUCAUACUACUUCCAUGGUGAGUUCAUGGAUGAUGACUUUGACACCCCCUGAUUCUAUAAAUAGAAAUUGAUAUUCCAUUGAUUCUCAAAGCUCCUCGUGAACCUAUUUUGUUUAUAUACCCAAAGUAAUGCUGAGGAUGAUGGAGACGAGUAGUAGCGAGGAUUUUAUUUUCAGUUAUCACUUAAUAGUAGUUUAGUUUUAAGUUGUUUAAUUUGAAUAGUAAGACUAAGCUACUUAGUAAGUUUGUGAUAAGAUAGGAUUUUCUAUUAUAAAAAAAAUUAAGAAUAAUGUUUGUAAUAAAUAGAUUACUAUGUUUUAUAAAUCAAGUUUGUUAAUUAAGUA